AGAACGAACGCUGGCGGCAUGCCUAAUACAUGCAAGUCGAACGAAGGCUUCGGCCUUAGUGGCGCACGGGUGCGUAACGCGUGGGAAUCUGCCCCUUGGUUCGGAAUAACAGUUGGAAACGACUGCUAAUACCGGAUGAUGACGAAAGUCCAAAGAUUUAUCGCCAAGGGAUGAGCCCGCGUAGGAUUAGCUAGUUGGUGAGGUAAAGGCUCACCAAGGCGACGAUCCUUAGCUGGUCUGAGAGGAUGAUCAGCCACGACCGGGACUGAGACACGGCCCAGACCUCGUACGGGAGCAGCA
rnacentral:rRNA from 1 species